rnacentral:tRNA from 1 species
GCCUUCGUUGUGUAGUGGUCAGCACGCUUCAUGUGUAACCGAGAGGUCCGUGGUUCGAUUCCCGGCGAAGGCG